GAUGAACGCUGGCGGCGUGCCUAAUACAUGCAAGUCGAGCGAAGCGGGGACGGGUGAGUAACACGUGGAUACCCUCCUUUAAGACUGGGGUAACUUAGGGAAACCGGAGAUCAACCGGAUACUUAUACAUGGUUCCGCGCUGCAUUGGCUAGUUGGUAGGGUAACGGCUUACCAAGGCAACGAUGCAUAGCCGACCUGAGAGGGUGAUCGGCCACACUGGAACUGAGACACGGUCCAGACUCCUACGGGAGGCAGCAGUAGGGAAUCUUCCGCAAUGGGCGAAAGCCUGACGGAGCAACGCCGCGUGAGUGAUGAAGGUCUUCGGAUCGUAAAGCUCUGUUAUUAGGGAAGCGGUACCUAAUCAGAAAGCCACGGCUAACUACGUGCCAGCAGCCGCGGUAAUUC
rnacentral:rRNA from 1 species